UACGUAGGUGGCAAGCGUUGUCCGGAUUUACUGGGCGUAAAGAGCGCGCAGGCGGUCGUUUAAGUCGAAUGUGAAAGCCCCCGGCUCAACUGGGGAGGGUCAUUCGAUACUGAUCGACUUGAAGGCAGGAGAGGGAAGUGGAAUUCCGGGUGUAGUGGUGAAAUGCGUAGAUAUCCGGAGGAACACCAGUGGCGAAGGCGACUUCCUGGCCUGUUCUUGACGCUGAGGCGCGAAAGCUGGGGGAGCAAACGGGAUUAGAAACCCCCGUAGUCC
rnacentral:rRNA from 1 species